UGGGGAAUAUUGCACAAUGGGCGCAAGCCUGAUGCAGCCAUGCCGCGUGUAUGAAGAAGGCCUUCGGGUUGUAAAGUACUGUCAGCGGGGAGGAGGGGAGUAAAGUUAAUACCUUUGCUCAUUGACGUUACCCGCAGAAGAAGCACCGGCUAACUCCGUGCCAGCAGCCGCGGUAAUACGGAGGGUGCAAGCGUUAAUCGGAAUUACUGGGCGUAAAGCGCACGCAGGCGGUUUGUUAAGUCAGAUGUGAAAUCCCCGGGCUCAACCUGGGAAAUGAAUCAGAUACUGGCAAGCUUGAGUCUCGUAGAGGGGGGUAGAAUUCCAGGUGUAGCGGUGAAAUGCGUAGAGAUCUGGAGGAAUACCGGUGGCGAAGGCGGCCCCAUGGACGAAGACUGACGCUCAGGUGCGAAAGCGUGAGGAGCAAACAGG
rnacentral:rRNA from 1 species